UACGUAGGGUGCAAGCGUUGUCCGGAUUUAUUGGGCGUAAAGAGCUCGUAGGCGGUUUGUCGCGUCGGAUGUGAAAACCCAGGGCUCAACCCUGGGCCUGCAUUCGAUACGGGCAGACUAGAGUAUGGCAGGGGAGACUGGAAUUCCUGGUGUAGCGGUGAAAUGCGCAGAUAUCAGGAAGAACACCCGUAGCGAAGGCGGCUCUCUGGGACGGUACUGACGCUGAGACGCGAAAAGCGUGGGGGAGCGAACAGG
rnacentral:rRNA from 1 species